ensembl:ncRNA T24D8.12 ncRNA
CAUUUUUAUUCUUAGCAUUUGUAGUCAUUAUCAGGUGGCUUUAGAAGGGCACACACACGCACACUUUUGCGGAACAAGACAAAAAUUCAAUCAUUUGGAGAGUGGCUUCAAUUCACUUUGAAGACAUUCGCAAUGCAUUGCUAAAUCGUUUUGAGAAGAAAAAGAAUAAGUGAUGCAACAUUCUUUUCAUGAUUAAU